rnacentral:tRNA from 1 species
GCCUGGGUGGCUCAGCCGGUUGAGCGUCCGACUUCAGCUCAGGUCACGAUCUCACGGUUCGUGAGUUCGAGCCCCGCGUCAGGCU